ensembl:lncRNA
CUUCACGACGAUUCUGACACACUUCUGUGCGGUGCUCCAGGGGCGUGGUGCCACUCUGUCCCAAGCGGUUCACAUUGUCCAAACUGUAGUGGGAGGCAAAGGCCAAAGCCUCCCAGACAGAGCCUUCUGCGGAUUCACCAUCUCCCAUGAGGCAGAACACUCGGUAACUGGCCUUGUCGCCACUUGCCUGUGUAAGCCAUUCCACACGCAGCACCUAAUCCUUGCCCAAGGGACCCUGUUGCCACAUCCACAAACGACAGUCGAGGGGUGGGAUGUCCUUCCGAGUCGCAGUGAAGCUUCCUCAGGCUCAGCAAGUCAGAUUCGCAGAUAUCGCCCACCUCGGCCCAAGUGGCAUAAAAGACUGGCACUGCGUGGCCCUUGGAGAGGACGAAUCUGUCGUUGUCGGCGUGCUCUGGGUCCGUCUGUUUAUACCUCAUCGUGUGGAAGAAGAGCACAGACAGGAUCUCGGCCGCACUACAGCAGGACAUAGGGUGGCCGGAGCUGCAGCCAUGAGUUGAGCAGCUUUCCUCCACCAUGCCCUUCCACCAUGCAGUUUCUGCCUUGAAACCAAUGGACUGAGCUCACUAAAACUUGACUGGACCAGUGAUUUGCCUCCAUCUGUGAAGGUGAAGCCAAAGACCAUCCAGUCCAGUUGACCCACCACAAAAAGAAACAAAAAGAUACUCCAACAACCUUAUGAAAGCUCUACAGAGUCAACAGUCAUUCUCAACCUCAAGAUCCUGGACUUGAAUGCGGGAGAGGAAUUUGGC